rnacentral:sRNA from 1 species
ACCACAGCCCUCCAAAGACUGCAGCCCCCACCAGUGCUGACGGGGACUUCGCGGUCACCCACCUGACCAAGGCCCACCUGUUCCA